rnacentral:lncRNA from 1 species
UUUUUCUUCUUACCCUAUUCAUACCCCGUACCCAACCCUUUCCAUUAAAAAAAUAAAAUAAAUUACGCCACCCCCACCUAGGCCACCACCAUAAAANNNNNNNNNNNNNNNNNNNNNNNNNNNNNNNNNNNNNNNNNNNNNNNNNNNNNNNNNNNNNNNNNNNNNNNNNNNNNNNNNNNNNNNNNNNNNNNNNNNNNNNNNNNNNNNNNNNNNNNNNNNNNNNNNNNNNNNNNNNNNNNNNNNNNNNNNNNNNNNNNNNNAUCUGUAUUUGUAUAAUUAUAAGUGUUUAUUUGUAUUUGUAUAUACAACUUUCUCUCGCUUUAUACAAACACAAACGUAUUUUAUACCGAAAUGUAUAAAAUGACUAAUUGUAUACCGAAUCAGAUGGCAAAAAAAGGGGAUGUUUGCUGUGAAUUACAAUUAAAAUAAACUAUGGCUAUCACAUUUCAUUUGAAUUAAUAGUUUGCUAUUUCAUACAAUUUUUCCUAUUAACAAUUGAAAAAUGUAGAAGUUCAGCAAACUUAAUAAACGAAGUAAGGCCUGUUUGGAUGGACUUAUAAAAAGUAAUAUAUAAAUCAAAAGUUAAAAGUCAUAAGUAGAUGAUACUCUAUUUUUGACUUAUUUUAAAACUUUUUUGACCUAAAAGUAAAUGCUUAAAAACACGUUUUAACCUUUCCAAACACCUAUAUAAUAAAAAAAAAUGUUUAAAAGUAAAAAAAUACCUAUAAAAAAAAGAGUUAAUCCAAACAAGCACUAAAUCAUACGACAAUUAGUUUCUAUCUUUUUUUGUUUUGUUUUUUUCACUGUGUAAAAAUGAGGCGAAGCCUCUAAAAUUUAUAAUCACUAACAGGUGCAAAAGGAAUAAUUUCCUAAAAAAAUAAUCAAUUAAUCAUUCCUACAAAUGAUUUGUAUCAACAAAUAUAACAGAUACAAUUGUAUUCAUUGACACAAAUCAAUUGUAUCAAGUGUAUUCGUGAUACGAUUAUCGAUCGGCUAUAUAAAUCAAUUAUAUAUAUCUCGCUUCUCUCCUCCCUCUCCCAAUUUCUCUCGUCUCCUUCCUCCUUUGAACCUGUAGUUACAUUUUUAUACAAUUGUAUUUAUCGAUAUAAAUAUUGAUUGGAUAUACAAAAUAAUUGUAUUUCUCUCGCCUCUUGCCAAUCUCUCCUAGAUAUCGCUUCUUCUUCUAAUAUGUAGCUACAAAUUGUAAUUAAUCAAACUAUAAUUAUAGAUCUCUAACUAAGACCAAACUAUAAUUAUUUUUGAUAGUUCCUCCUUUCUUUUAUGCUAUAUAACGAGGUAAGGGCCACUAGAGCCGUUCUAGUAUGGGCUAUAAUUAUAGAUCUCUAACUAAGACCAAAAUAUAAUUAUUUUUGAUAGUUCCUCCUUUCUUUUAUGCUAUAUAACGAGGUAAGGGCCACUAGAGCCGUUCUAGUAUGGGCUAUAAUUAUAGAUCUCUAACUAAGACCAAAAUAUAAUUAUUUUUGAUAGUUCCUCCUUUCUUUUAUGCUAUAUAACGAGGUAAGGGCCACUAGAGCCGUUCUAGUAUGGCUAUACCCAUAUAUUUAGUAUGUUUUAUAAGAAAAUUAAUUUUGAUGCCAGCCAAGAAAAUGGUGUACAUAAUAUUUUGAAAUUUUGAUUUUGAUUGAGUUGCACGAUAAUUAAAUCUCACAUAAGUGGUUGACCAAAAAGUAUUUUAUUAUAUUUUGUUUUGUUUUUUUUCCCUAUAAAAAUGUGAGUAUUUAUAUAUAUAAAGCUUCCAAGAUAGAAGAACAUAUACACAACUAAAUUUAACAUCCUCUUUUUUCUUUUUCAAAAAAUUUUCUAUCAAAAUGUGUUAAAAAAAAUUGAGAUUAAGUGAUGGAAGAAACUUAGCUUACAAAGAGAGAGGUGUUGCUAAGGAAAAAUCCAAUUAUAGAAUAAUAUUUGUUCAUGGCUUUGAUAGCUCCAAAAAAAGGGAAUUUCUUGCACCCCAGGUUGGUAUAUCCUCCUCCAUAAUUUACUAUAUGGGUGUGUGUUCGGUAUGUAAGAAAAUAUUUUCUUGAAAAAUAAAUGAUUUUUAAUUUUUUUUUUUUAUGUUUGAUAAGUUUAUGUAUAGUUUAAGUAAAUAUUAUGAGACGGGGUGGAGAGUAGAGUUGGAUCCAUCCUUAUAGCACCGAGUUCAUCUGAAUUCUUCGAUGUAGAGUAUAAAUUUGUGUGAACUCAAUAAUUUUGAAGUGGUGCAUAAAUUAUGUGUAAGAAUUCACUAAAUUUACAACAGACAGUUAAUAUGAACUUAUAACUUUAAAAAUAAAUGAGUUUAAUGCUAAAAAAUGUUAAAGAUUAAUCCGUUGAGCUUAAAUUCUGAAUUUGGGUGUGCGAUGGGCUUUGGGAUGAGGAGGCGACGAUCAAUUUAGAUUAUCACUUGCAGAAUUUGUGUUCCCUCCUUUUAUUAUAAUGAAUUUUAAGAAUAUUUUCAUUUGUUUCUUGAAAUUGUGAACAGGAAAUGAUGAACAAAAUGGGGAUAUAUCUAGUUCAAUAUGAUAGAGCUGGAUAUCGGAAAGUGACCCAAACCCAAAUAGAUCCCAAAGGAGUGAAGCAUGUGACUAUCACGCCCUGAGCCUACACCCUGGGAGGGACUAGCACUAGAGAACCAUUGCUUGCCCCAAGCGAACCCUUGGCCUGGUUUAACUCUUAGUGGAAGACUUACUCAUGAUAAAAUACUUUAAAAAGUAAACUGAACUGCUCAAUAAAUAACUUAGAAUGUAUAAAGAACAUUCACUAGCCAAAAUGGCACUCAAGUCUCAAUCAUUAAAACAGGAAAUGGGAAGACUCAAGAACUAACAUCAACGAUGCGCCGAGAUGGACGUCUAUGAAGCCUCUAAUAGCCGAGAUGGAUGUCGGGACAAGACUCACGACAUCCUAAUGAAUUAAAAUGAUAAAGUAAUGAAAAUGGGGAUCCUCCGGAAGCAAGGAGGCUCACCAACAACUCUGAAGCUCAAUUGGAUCAACGAUGCGCUGGAUGCUGACCCUGGUUUCCUGUGUCUGCAUCAUAAAACGAUGCAGUCCAAAUGGCAUCAGUACAUUGAAUGUACGAGUAUGCGAGGGGAAUACUAAAACAUAACGUAAGGUUGAAAAGAAUAUGAAAGGAACACUUACCUUGGCAUUACUCAAUUAAUGAAUAACUUAACUCAAUAUAAAGCAAUAAUACACAUGCAAUAUAUCAAAAGCUUUUAAAAAUAGUAGAAAGCAACUCAGUUUGUUUAAGAAAAUGCAAUAAUAACUCAACUUACUCAUAUAAUAAAGUAAUGUAAUACUGUGGGAGUUUCUCUAACCGAUAACCACCACUAUGAGCAUAAUUGGUAAUACACCGUCUUGCCCACGCUGGCAGAACUUUCCUAUACUUUGUUGUCAUAUAGAACGCCUUAACUAAGUGGAUCCACUAGUCUAUGCUAAAAAGCAUCAAUCCUGUGGAUGGGAUACUUAUUCUUGAUUGUGACUUUGUUCAACUGCCUAUAGUCAAUGCACUGGUUUGAGAUAAUUACUCAAAACUUAGCUUAAAAGCUCUCUUGGAAUCGAUGUUCCCUUUCUUGCUCAAAUGUAAAAACAUUCUUUUAACUCUUGGGAAUACUUAGAUCCCGUAUAAUCUUUGAAGAAAUGAACUUUGCUCUUAAUCUUUACUCAACUCAAAGCGUAAGUCUUAAAACAAAGUAAAUUGUUUGUAAAAGACUUUUGGAAAACUUUAUGAACUUCUCUUGACUUGACUCUUAACUUUCCUUGAAUUGAAUUAUGGAUUCAAGGAUUGUGAUUUGUGAUAGGAAUGAUCUCAUGAUGUUUAAGAGUAUUUUUAGGUAGUUAAACAUGAGAAAAGAUCAAGAAAUCACUGUCUAGAAGCUAGUCCGCGACGCGGAGAUGUAUUUAAAUAUUUGAUCACGAAAAUAAAAUUUGAGGCAGAAUGGUCCGUGACCUCUCCACGACGCGAGAAGAAAAAUUGUCAAUUCUGAGGACUAGGUCCGCGACGCGGACCUGGUACCUGGUACCCAGAUUUUCCUGACUUGUUCCUUUUUCAUUUUCUAACCCCAAAUCUCCUAAACUCGACUAUUCCUCUCAAAUUCUCUUUAGAUUCACAUACCCAGCAUAUGUACCUAAGGAUCUAUUCAUAAACAACUCUUAAAAUCAACAUUUUAAUCUCUAAGGCUCCUCAGUCUCAGCUCAAUUCAAGAACGAAGGCAAAUUCAAGAAUACAUAUCAAGAGCAUCAAACUUUCAACCUUUUUAGAAGGAAUUUCGCUGAACUAAACAUGAUUGGCUCGUGGGUGAACAAACCCAACGCUAUGAAAGUCUCACAUACCUCGUAGGGAUCGCCCCUUGACCAAAUCCACAAUCUUAGCUUCUAGAAUUUGACGAUUCUUGCUUCUUCUCCUCUUUUCUCCUCUUCUUUCCUCUUCUCUAAAACCCUAACUUAAUUUUCAAAAGCGUAAACUGACCAAGUUCAGUUUAGACCCCUAAGUAAUUACCAAAAAUGAAUUAAUUUAAUUGGGUAUGGUAAAGACCAAAAUACCUUCCAAAAUCCGAUUUAGAUUUUCCUUAUUUAAACAACCCAACUUCAAAUGGGCAUAUCUCACUCAUACGAACUCGGAAUCGUGCAAACUCGGCGGCGUUGGAAAGAUUAUCCCAAAAUCUUUCCUAAGAUAUCUGGAAGCACACCUAAUUCAUUCUUAGGAGUUAUGGUCAUUUGAAGUUUACCAAAAACCCAUACUUAACAUAACUUAACCAAUUUUCCAGAUUUUUGUUCUUUCCUAAAAUGACUAUUUCCAAUUCUAACUCUUUUUAGUUCUUUCAAAAUAGCGAGAUAACAUUCGUCCUCGAAUGAGAUUACUCUUAGUAGGCUAAGGGUGUAACAUCUAGCAUUCAAUUCAAAAACCCAACAAGCAAUGCAAAUACAACAUGUCAACUUAUAAAUUAAAGAGUACUAAGAAGAAGAUUAGUACCUUGAUCUAGAAUUUCUCCAGUCUCAAAGAGAUGUGGAUACCUCCUCUUCAUAUCUUGUUCAGCUUCCCAAGUAGCUUCCUCAACAAACUAGUUCCUCCAAAGAACUUUGACUGAUGCUACUUCCUUAGUCCUCAACUUGCAAACUUGACGAUCUAGAAUCUGAACUAGAAUCUAUUCAUAAGAUAAGCUAUACUUGAUCCCAAUAUCUUCAGUUGGUAUGAUAAGUGAAGGAUCUCCCAUGCACUUCUUCAACAUGGAAAUAUGAAAUACCGAAUGAACCGUUGCUAACUCUUGGGGUAGCUCUAACUCAUAAGCUACAUUACCAACCCUUUUGGAUAUUCUGUAAGGACCAAUAUACCGAGGACUAAGCCUUUCCUUCUUACCAAAUCUCAUAACACCCUUCAUGGGUGAAACUUUCAAGUAUACCCAAUCAUCUACUUCAAACUCUAACUCCCUUCUCCUAACAUCAAUGUAGGAUUUCUGACGACUCUGUGCUAUUUUCAACCUUUAUUUAAUCACUUUCACCUUCUCCAUAGCUUGAUGCACUAAAUCUGGUCCUAUCAACCCAGCUUCACCAACUUCGAACCAUCCAAUAGGAGAUCUGCAUCUUCUCCCAUAAAGAGCUUCAUAAUGAGCCAUUUAGAUGCUAGAGUGGUAGUUAUUGUUGUAAGAAAAUUCUAUAAGGGGUAGGUGAUCAUCCCAAUUACCUUUGAAAUCAAUCACACAGGCCCUCAACAUGUCUUCUAAAGUCUGAAUAGUACUCUCUACUUGCCCAUAUGUUUGAGGGUGAAAGGCAGUACUUAAGUUCACCUUUAAACCCAAGCCUUUUUGGAAUGAUUUCCAAAACUAUGCAGUAAAUUGCACACUUUUGUCUGAAAUAAUGAAGACCGAAACCCCAUAAAGUCUUACCACCUCUUGAAUAUACAACUUACCAUAAUCUUUUGUUGAAUGGGUAGUCUUUACCGUCAAAAAGUGGGCUGAUUUUGUCAUUCUAUCAACAAUCACCCAAACAGAAUCAUGCUGCCUGAGAGACCUUGGCAAACCUAUGAUGAAGUCCAUGUUUAUCAUCUCUCACUUCCAUUCCGGAAGUUCUAUAUUUUGAGCCAAACCACCGGGCCUUUGAUGCUCUACUUUAACUUUUGAUAGUGACUUGAUAUUUAUGCUUGAAGGUUCUAAAAACAAUUUGAUGAGUGAGCUAGAAUAUCUCCAAGUAAGACAACAUAUUUACACAAACAAUUAAUCAUGUAGCACACAAACAAAUAUUGCGCAUUUUUUAAACAGAUAUGUGACCCUUUUAUGCCAAGGGUAGGCCUAACGAUUUGAAGGAUGUAUACAUUAAUUGAAACGUUUCAUUGCCCCAAAACCCAAAUUUAUACAAGUCUUAUGGAUAAACUGAAUGGGGAUACAUAAUAGGGGAAAUAGAAUACAAAAUAAUCAAUCCCGCGCAGGGGUACAAUUCUAAGCUAUGCCUUCAUGAAAAAUCCAUCUUUCAUGAACUUCCUGUCGUCUCCAAAUAUCGGCGCCUUUGGAUAGACUAGUAGUUUGUAAAUCUCUUUCUUCGACUAGAAUAAGUUAUAAUCUACUCCUUACCCCAAGGGACAAUGAUUUUUUCAAAUAACUUAUACAUCCUUCAAAUUUGAACAUGUAAGUAUGAUCGUCCAAUUAAGCCGUGGGCCAUUUUGGACUCAAGGUGGUCUCUCUAAUGGGCCCAACACACCUUGGGUGUUGGGUCAUCUUAGUUGGAUAUGCUAAAAGGGAUUUGAUUUCGCUCUACACUAGUUGACUAAGAGUUGGUUUUUGAGAGACCGGGGAACCCGAGUUGGACAAACUACGGGGUGAAGUAUAAUAAACGACGUUGGAUGACCACAAGCCAACUAUUCGUUUAUCACUUCGAAAGAAUUUAAAGGUGUUUUUUCUGAAGGACAGUCGUGGAAAGCCACGUAACCGCCUUUUUCUCCUAAUGCAAACUAUUUGCCAUUUGGCGGAAUCGGAUGCCAUGAAAUGCAACAGUUUAUAAUAUACAAGAAUUGAAACAAGUAAACAAUUAAACACAUAGCCAAAUAAUUAAUCUUAAGGUUAGAACCAUUCAAAUCCCCAGCGGAAGUCGCCAUUCUGUUUUAUUUAAAAGAGUAUAAUUUAGUCUUAUUUUAAGAGUCGCCACUUAAUUUUUAAGAAAAAUCAAGAAAAACUGAUUUUCAAUAGAUUAAAACAGGAAAUCAAUUGAAAAUAUUUAAAAGGGUUCGGGGUUCUUAUUAAUAUUCUAGGAAGGUUUUUAAAGCACCUAGAAUAUCCGCUAAUGCGGUUAUCCGACAAUUAAUUUAUUUGGCUAAAAUUGACUUUGACUAAUUUUGAGAAAAUAUUAACUAAGAAAACUCUCUUCUUUUUUCUUUUUGGAAAUAAAAUAAACUAAAAGAUUUUAAGAAUAUAACUCAUAUGACUUUCUUUUGGAGAAUUUAAUUAAAUAAAGCCAAUUCAAAUAAAAGGUUAGUCAAAUACAAAUAAUCAAAUAAAUAGUGUUAUACCCCAUUUUAAUUCGAGGUUCAAAUGGUGUACAACAUAUUAGUGAAUCUUAAAACUAUUUUAAAGAGUCGCCACCUAAUUAUGUUAAAGGUGAAUUAGGACACCUAUUUUGCUAAAGUUAUGUUAAAUCAACUCUAUAGUAAAGUGUACUUAACCUUGUGAGAUUCUAGGUGGGGGUUCUAAUUUAUAUUAAAGGGAAGGGGUAAGGCAUCCUUUAAAAUCUGUUAAAAACAGUUAACCGGCCAAACUUAAUUAAUUAAUUAGGCUAAGUGUAAAAGAGUAAAAAAAAUGUUGAAAUGCUAAGUAUACAAUAAUCAAUUUUGAAAAAUCGUUUCAUGUGAAAUCUAACUUGUGAAAAUAAAUUUGAAGGGAGGUUUUGAAAGCUAACGUGAUUCUUGUUUUAAGAAAGGAGUUAUUUUGCAAGAAUAAAACUUUUUUUUUUUUUUUUUAAAAAGGGCAAACUGACAGAACUUCAAAGUUGUGGAGAAAACUUGCAAGAAGCUUAUAAAAUUUCUCAUUUUCAAACCCUCCCUUUAUAUCUAAAAAAAUAUCCCAACUAAGUUGUCUAUUAUUAGACAAAGCAAACCAAUAAAUGAAGCAUGACUAUGAAUAAAUAACGCAGGUAUUAACAAGCAAUUGCACAAAAAUAUAGAUAUAAAGUUAAUCAUAAGGGAAAAUAUGUGCAAGCAAGAAUAGGAGCAUAAACAAGAAAAGCCAUUGUCGGCCCUCAUGAAGGGGUAACUAUGUUCUGCUUAGACACAGUAAGAUCACGGAUGACACAUGGAUUCCGAGCAUAUAGGUCGGUAAAUGAUAUGCAAACUCCGUAAGCAAAGACGUUGAGUCCCAAAGUGAAACUCUUCGGCUCCGAUUUUCAUGCAAACAAAGAAAAAGCAAAUGAAUGAGUUAGAACAAAAUUUAUCUUUUAAUAAUAACAAAAAUUAUAAAAUGCAGUAAAACUAGAAUUCCCUCAAUAUGCAGUAAAACUAGAAUUCCCUCAAUAUUCAACAUGUACUUACGGUAAACAAUGAGGUCAUAUAGUGGUUAAACAUAUAUGAGCAAUUUAGCAUAGUUUAAUAGUGACAAAUUGAUUUUAACUCCAGGAAUAAAUAUUAAAUACGACUUAAGUUUUACUGUAACAAAUAUAAUAUCACAUCUUGGUUACUAAAAUAGGGACUAAAAAAAAAAAAAACCAAAACAACAAACUUGAUUAUGAGAAAUCCAACCAACACGCUGCUUAAUAACUUUUGUGAAUCAAGUUCUCAUAAACUAAUCAUUAAAACGAAAUAAAAUCAAGACUUAUAAGAGUGACAAGUACAUUCAGAUUCGACCAGAUAUACUCUCAACCAAAACAACAAUAAACACCUAAAUGAUUUAUAAUAAGACUUCCAAGUAAAAAUGUUAACUACAACUCAACAUAUUCAAAUGGAAAGGUAUAUAUGAUGAACUACGAACUUUGAACUAUAUACAAACAUUUGUCACUUUCAUACAGAACAAAAAGAGACUAACAUGGAUUCCUAAACUAAUACAAACAUACUGAACAGAAGGGUAAGAUAUAACAAGGAAAAGGUAUCGAGAUUACUGUUUGUGGGGCAGCGAGCUAAGACAACGAGCGGACGAGCAUCAACUUCUUUCACACAACCUUAAAUUCGACCUUCGAUUCAAACAACCAACCCAGGAAUUUGAACCAACUUCGAGUACAAGAAUCUUCUUUCCCUUCUGAUUCAAGAACAGUUCGAAAGUCCUCAAAUGUAUAAUUUUGUGCCAAGAGAACUACCUCUCUGUAUUCACUCCCCUUUUCUAACUCUAUCCUUUAAAAAAAAAAAAUUCUCUAAAAUCUCCCCCCUCCUGAUAUUGGAACAGUAAGGUAUUAUAUAGAAAGGAGCUAGGGUUUGAUUUUGAGGGGGAAGGGCUGAAAUCCGAAUGGAAAGGGCCCAAUUCGAAAUUCAAAUCUGAAAAACCUUUCACCAAAUUGGGACGACACCUUUUUCUCUGAGAUUUCAACCCUAUUCCAAAAGGGGAAAAGGGGACGGACGGGUGGGAUCGAAUCACUCGUCCUUGGGCGCGACGUGGAUCGAUCCCACGCUACAAGGACAGAGGACGCGGCUGCUGCAGGUGCCUUUUGCUGUCGCGACAAGGAUGGGAGGAAGACGACACAGAUAAAGACGUUGCUUUUCCGUGAAUCGCGUUGUGUAUCUCCGUCUGGUCACUGUUCACGCUUUGACGCGUGAAGGAGAAGCGUAUAGAGGUCGCUGGAUCUUGCUAUUGUAUUGAAUGGGUUGGGUAUUAUUGUUGUACGUAUUUGGUGAAGUCUGGUGGGCUUUGGAAAUAAAAGGGAACAAAAUGGCUCCUUAAUUGUGGACUAGGAAUAAGAAAAUAGGCUGCUGAAA